UUAAGUUCAGCGGGUAUUCCUACCUGAUCCGAGGUCAACCUUGUGUAAGUCCACGGGGCCUGAGGCACCCGCGGGGGGUUUUUACGGCCGGUCGCCCGCCGUGACGCCCUAAGCGAGAAGCAAGUACUGCGCUCGGGGUCUCGUCGGGCCCGCCACUGUAUUUCGGGGCCUGCAGCAAGCGCUACAGAGUGACCCCAACA
rnacentral:misc_RNA from 1 species